rnacentral:rRNA from 1 species
UCAGAAUGAACGCUGGCGGCAUGCCUAACACAUGCAAGUCGAACGAACCCUUCGGGGUUAGUGGCGCACGGGUGCGUAACGCGUGGGAAUCUGCCCCUUGGUUCGGAAUAACAGUUAGAAAUGACUGCUAAUACCGGAUAACGACGUAAGUCCAAAGAUUUAUCGCCGAGGGAUGAGCCCGCGUAGGAUUAGCUAGUUGGUGUGGUAAAGGCGCACCAAGGCGACGAUCCUUAGCUGGUCUGAGAGGAUGAUCAGCCACACUGGGACUGAGACACGGCCCAGACUCCUACGGGAGGCAGCAGUGGGGAAUAUUGGACAAUGGGCGAAAGCCUGAUCCAGCAAUGCCGCGUGAGUGAUGAAGGCCUUAGGGUUGUAAAGCUCUUUUACCCGGGAUGAUAAUGACAG